rnacentral:rRNA from 1 species
AUACGUAGGUGGCAAGCGUUGUCCGGAUUUACUGGGUGUAAAGGGCGUGUAGCCGGGAAGGCAAGUCAGAUGUGAAAUCCACGGGCUCAACUCGUGAACUGCAUUUGAAACUGUUUUUCUUGAGUAUCGGAGAGGCAAUCGGAAUUCCUAGUGUAGCGGUGAAAUGCGUAGAUAUUAGGAGGAACACCAGUGGCGAAGGCGGAUUGCUGGACGACAACUGACGGUGAGGCGCGAAAGCGUGGGGAGC